CUAUAUGACUGCAAGCCCGUAUGAACAAGUCUCAUCCAGGAUCAGAUCAAAACUUCAAAUGUCAGUUAAUUUAACAUUUCUCUCCUCCUCCAGUCUGGAAAUGUGAAGGAGAACGGGGGUCAGGAUCAGUGUCAUUUCUGUUUCUCACUACCUCCUGCCCCCUUGCUGGCUGCUCUUCCAGGCCUGUGGGCCGGUUACAGCAAGGGAAAGAAGAAAGAGGAUGUGUCAUCCUCUCCCAAUGGUCCUCUAGCAGCCUCCUCAUUUGGCAUGAGGUGAAGAGGAAGCACCUCCACCCUCUCCUGCUUGGGGAGCGGAAGGGAAACGUCCAGUAUACUGACAGCUGCUUCCAAAGGAAUCUUCUCACAUUCUCUCACAGAGCCUGAAGUGCUUGGGACGAGAGAAUGUAAACAUCGA